UUUUUUCCAGUUUGUAAUCUUGAGGAAAGAGUACAAAAGGUUGGACAAGCACAUGACAAUAAAGAAAAUGGAGAGGGAGGGUCACCAUCCUCUGUGUGACGGUUCCAUUUCAUCCUCUCAUGUUUGGAGUUUCUAUGUUUUCGUUAUGUUUGUUGAAGGUUCAGAACUGCUUCGACAUAAUCACCGCACCAGUCUUUUUUGCCACCAUUCGUGAUCUUCUCUUCAAAUGUGAGUCUUCUUCUUUGACUUUUUUUUGAAGGAUUUAGAAUACCAGGUAGCUUAAAUUUAAAUAUUUUUUUCUGCAGAUGUUAAAAGCACAUACUUUUAGUCUGAUUGUUCUUAAGAUAGUUAUAGUUACAUGUUAAAAGCAUAUGUGUCGGUGAUCUUUAAAAAAGAUUCUAACAUCAAAACCUUGAGUCUCUUGGCUAAUGAUUUGUAGUUAUAAUUUGAGAUUUUGUAUAAAAUCUCUGCAUACGGUGGUGUUUGCUGAACAUAGUGUUUUUUUCUACCACUAUCACUAAAGAGUAAAGGGUAUUAGUUUACAAUGACGAAAGCAACUGCCAAGAACAAUAUAAAAUAUCUUAUAUUAUAUCAUCAAUGAAGUUAUAUAAAGCUAUAUUUGUACUUUGAAGGGUGUUUGGUAGUCNNNNNNNNNNNNNNNNNNNNNNNNNNNNNNNNNNGAAGGGAGGUUAGAAAGGGAGAUAGCAUCAACACAAAUUGCUAAAGAACAAUGAGAUCAUUUUGAGGACUAUAUUUAGUUUUAUAGUGUGUAUUAUUUCUUUGAAUUUCCUUUCUAUUACUUAAUUUCAUUUUAUUAUUACUACUACUUAAUUUCAUUUUAUCAUUUUGAGGACUAUUGUUUGAGUGAUCACUUAUAGUUUGAUACUUUUAAUUACUUUAGUUUGAUUUAGAUAGAAAAAAUCAUUGUCAUCCUUUGAAUUACUUACUUUAAUGAGAGUUGGUGAGCUACAUAGCUUUCUUUGUAUUUGAAAACUCUCAAUGAUUGUGAAAGAAAAAUAAAGCUUACCAUAGAUCUGUUUUGGAUUGAUUGCUAAGUUUUAAUAUGCACCAUUGUUUACAUUUUCGUUUGUUAACUUAACAUGUUUCAAAUUAGGUAGGCUAAAAAAAAAAAUGUAUGAGUUGAAUGAAUGUUUUCUUUUUUGGUUGUGACUAAUUUUUUUACACAAUUGUAGAUGGCAGGAGCAAGAAAGGUUUACCAUGAAGAGGUUGAACUUCUUGGGAGAUGACCAAGUUUUUAUAUGNN
rnacentral:lncRNA from 1 species